rnacentral:rRNA from 1 species
CCUACGGGUGGCAGCAGUGAGGAAUAUUGGUCAAUGGACGAGAGUCUGAACCAGCCAAGUAGCGUGAAGGAUGACUGCCCUAUGGGUUGUAAACUUCUUUUAUAUGGGAAUAAAAUGUUCCACGUGUGGGAUUUUGUAUGUACCAUAUGAAUAAGGAUCGGCUAACUCCGUGCCAGCAGCCGCGGUAAUACGGAGGAUCCGAGCGUUAUCCGGAUUUAUUGGGUUUAAAGGGAGGGUAGGCGGAUUGUUAAGUCAGUUGUGAAAUUUUGCGGCUCAACCUUAAAAUUGCAGUUGAAACUGGCAGUCUUGAGUACAGUAGAGGUGGGCGGAAUGCGUGGUGUAGCGGUGAAAUGCUUAGAUAUCACGAAGAACUCCGAUUGCGAAGGCAGCUCACUGGACUGUAACUGACACUGAGUCUCGAAAGUGUGGGUAUCAAACAGGAUUAGAUACCCGUGUAGUC